GACAGAGGCCUCAAGCGUUAGGCGGAAUCACUGGGCUUAAAGCGUGUGUAGGCGGAUCGUUAAGUGUCUUGUGAAAUCCCACGGCUCACCCGUGGAACUGCUGGGCAUACUGGCGAUCUUGGGCCAACUAGGGGCAACUGGAACAAGCGGUGGAGCGGUGAAAUGCGUAGAUAUCAUUUGGAACGCCAAUGGUGAAAACAAGUAGCUGGGGCUGUGCUGACGCUGAGACACGAAAGCCAGGGGAGCAAACGGG
rnacentral:rRNA from 1 species